AUGCCAGAGCCACCUGAGCCUGGCUGGAGUGAGGAUCGGAUGAAACAGGGCUUGGGUGAGGCGUUAACAGUGGGUGGGCACGGCUCUGACUCGAGGGGAGUGGUCAGCACGCAGGGGCGUGGCUCGGGCUCGCGGAGUCGUCCGAGAUUCAGGGCAGCUCCCGGGCAGAAGUGUCCGGAUCUAACCGUCCCUGGGGAGUCGGAGACCCGUGGCCGCCGCCGGACCCACAGGCCAUGUGGCCUCCGCUGUUGCUGCUGCUGCUACUGCUCCCUUCCGCCCCGGUCCCCACCCUCAAGGCCGCUCCGCUCCUGGAUGCUAACACCCAGGAAGGCUUUCAGAACCUGCUCCAAGGAGUCCAGGCUGGCGGAGACAGAGAGCUGCGGGCAGUCUCAUACCUGGCCCCGGGCUCUGCCUGUAGUAAUGGAGCUGUGGUGGCCGUGCGACCCCCAAGCCAGGGAGGAAGACCUGCGGCUCCGUGAGAGGCGUCCAGGGCUGCAGGCCAAGGCGACAGGCUCCGGGGGACAUGGGGCUUCCCCUGUUCACUUCCAAGGAGGGUGGGCAUCAAUGCAUUGGCAGGGGAUGGCCCUGUGCCCUGCCAGGGUCUCCACCCCCAGCACCAUUUAUUAGAAAUAAUAAAGUUCUUUCUUAGCUA